rnacentral:rRNA from 1 species
CGGCAACAGCUCAAAUUUGAAAUCUGGCCCUUUCAGGGUCCGAGUUGUAAUUUGUAGAGGGUGCUUUGGUGUUGGCUGCGGUCUAAGUUCCUUGGAACAGGACGUCACAGAGGGUGAGAAUCCCGUACGUGGUCGACAGUCUUCACCGUGUAAAGCCCCUUCGAC